rnacentral:rRNA from 1 species
AGCAGCAGCCGCGGUAAUACGUAGGGUGCAAGCGUUAAUCGGAAUUACUGGGCGUAAAGCGUGCGCAGGCGGUUAUAUAAGACAGAUGUGAAAUCCCCGGGCUCAACCUGGGAACUGCAUUUGUGACUGUAUAGCUAGAGUACGGCAGAGGGGGAUGGAAUUCCGCGUGUAGCAGUGAAAUGCGUAGAUAUGCGGAGGAACACCGAUGGCGAAGGCAAUCCCCUGGGCCUGUACUGACGCUCAUGCACGAAAGCGUGGGGAGCAAACAGGAUUAGAUACCUUUGUAGUCCCUGUCUCUUAUAC